CUACGGGAGGCACCAGUGGGGAAUAUUGCACAAUGGGGGAAACCCUGAUGCAGCGACGCCGCGUGAAGGAUGAAGGUCUUCGGAUCGUAAACUUCUAUCAGCAGGGAAGAAACAAAUGACGGUACCUGACUAAGAAGCUCCGGCUAACUACGUGCCAGCAGCCGCGGUAAUACGUAGGGAGCGAGCGUUAUCCGGAUUUACUGGGUGUAAAGGGUGCGUAGGCGGCCUGGUAAGUUAGAAGUGAAAUUUUGGGGCUCAACCCCAGAGCUGCUUCUAAAACUGCUGGGCUAGAGUGCAGGAGAGGAGAGCGGAACUCCACGUGUAGCGGUGAAAUGCGUAGAGAUGUGGAGGAACACCAGUAGCGAAGGCGGCUUUCUGGACUGUAACUGACGCUGAGGCACGAAAGCGUGGGGAGCAAACAGGAUUAGAUACCCGAGUAGUC
rnacentral:rRNA from 1 species